rnacentral:rRNA from 1 species
GAGUUUGAUCAUGGCUCAGAUUGAACGCUGGCGGAAUGCUUUACACAUGCAAGUCGAACGGUCAGCACGGGGCAACCUGGUGGCGAGUGGCGAACGGGUGAGUAAUACAUCGGAACGUGCCCAAUCGUGGGGGAUAACGUAGCGAAAGUUACGCUAAUACCGCAUACGAUCUACGGAUGAAAGCGGGGGAUCGCAAGACCUCGCGCGAAUGGAGCGGCCGAUGUCAGAUUAGGUAGUUGGUGGGGUAAAGGCUCACCAAGCCGACGAUCUGUAGCUGGUCCUGAGAGGACGACCAGCCACACUGGGACUGAGACACGGCCCAGACUCCUACGGGAGGCGGCAGUGGGGAAUUUUGGACAAUGGGCGCAAGCCUGAUCCAGCCAUUCCCGCGUGCAGGAUGAAGGCCUUCGGGUUGUAAACUGCUUUUGUACGGAACGAAACGGUUCUCUCUAAUACAGGGGGCUAAUGACGGUACCGUAAGAAUAAGCACCGGCUAACUACGUG